rnacentral:rRNA from 1 species
UACGUAGGUGGCAAGCGUUGUCCGGAAUUAUUGGGCGUAAAGCGCGCGCAGGCGGUCUCUUAAGUCUGAUGUGAAAUCCCGUGGCUUAACCACGGGCGGUCAUUGGAAACUGGGGGACUUGAGUGCAGAAGAGAAGAGCGGAAUUCCACGUGUAGCGGUGAAAUGCGUAGAGAUCCGGAGGAACACCAGUGGCGAAGGCGGCUCGCUGGGCUCUACCUGACGCUGAGGCGCGAAAGCGUGGGGAGCGAACCGG